rnacentral:tRNA from 1 species
GGCCCUGUAGCCCAAUUGGCAGAGGCAGAGGACUUAAAAUCCUCGUGGUCUGGGUUCGAGUCCCAGCAGGGCCA